AGGAUUAACGCUGGCGGCGUGCCUAACACAUGCAAGUCGAACGAGGUAGCAAUACCUAGUGGCAGACGGGUGAGUAACGCGUGGUCAACCUACCGUUGAGUGGGGGAUAACUAGCCGAAAGGUUAGCUAAUACCGCAUACGUCUCCGAGGGGCAUCCCUUGGCGAUAAAAGGAGCAAUCCGCUCGAUGACGGGACCGCGUCCCAUUAGCUAGAUGGUGGGGUAACGGCCUACCAUGGCACCGAUGGGUAGCUGGUUUGAGAGAGCGACCAGCCACACUGGGACUGAGAAACGGCCCAGACUCCUACGGGAGGCAGCAGUGAGGAAUUUUCCGCAAUGGGCGCAAGCCUGACGGAGCGACGCCGCGUGUGGGAAGAAGGCCUUCGGGGUCGUAAACCACUGUCGAAGGGGACGAUAAUGACGGUACCCUUGGAGGAAGCCCCGGCUAACUACGCGCCAGCAGCCGC
rnacentral:rRNA from 1 species